rnacentral:lncRNA from 1 species
UUUGAGUAACUGAUAGCGGUAAUUAUGAAUUUAAUAUGUUUCUAAAUUUUUUAAUAAUUAAUUGAUAGAAAAAUAUUUAUUUGGUAGAAAUUUAUUAACAAAUGAUUCAAAACCGAUAUCUUUUAUAAAUAGUAAUCAAAUAAAAAAACUCAAUAAAAAAUUAAUAAAUGACAAAAAUUAUUUUAAAGGUGAUGUAUUGAAUGCAGUUGGAAUCAAUUUAAAAUAAAAAAAAUCAUUUAAAAAU